AUGGGGCGGGGAGAGCUGGGCUAGGUGCGCGCUCGGCGCGAGAGAUCACGGGAACUGCGUGGCUCUCUGGGGCUGAAAAAACACAUACACACAUAUAGGCACAGAAAUAGCAACAAAAACAACCGG
ensembl:ncRNA C48C5.4 ncRNA